CAGUCUCUGGCUCUCAUGAAGCUCCGCUUGCUCGCUUACUCUCAGACGCACUCAGCCUGAGUCAGAGUGUGGGACAGGACAGACAGGAACACCACAACUGAUCUCUUUCUUCACAUACAGCCGGCACAUUUCCCGGCUGUGAGUGGGGCCUUCAUGGAUUCUCCGUACAACGGCAAUACGUCCCUGCAGACGUCCACCUCCAACCUCAACGCCAGCUGCUCCAGACCCUCAGAAACAGAGGAUGAUGGGAAAGUGUCCAGUGACACCAUUUGGCUGUGGGUCGCUGUACUGGCAACCAUUGGCAACAUAGUGGUGGUGGCCGUGGUUUGCGCCUGUGCCUUCUGACGAGAUGGAAACUGAUGCUGUCUGAUAAUCCGAAACCUUCCAUAUCCUGAAAAUAUAUAUUUUUCUUCAGAAAUGAUGUAAAAUAGCCUUAACUUGAGACAUCUGAAAUGGAAUUUGCAUGGGAUAGUCAAAUCAAAUGAUUUUUACAUUUUUUCAAGAAAUAUAAGAGAGUAAAACUAAUAAACUACAGUUAAAUAAUCAAAAUAAAACAUACUUUCAAAAAUUUAUUUAUUUAUUUUAUUUAAAGCUUUCAUCAGAUGAAAUAAUGAUCCGAUAGAGACACAGGUAUAUCUAUUUUUUCCUUCAAGUGUUACAGUGAAACAAUACAAAAACAAAACCCACAAAAAUACAGUUAAACUAAUAUCACACUUACAUUAAGGGACUUUGAAAAUGGCCACUGAAACAUAUCUUACCUAAUAUACUGAAUACUGACCUCAACCUGACCAAAUAAGACCACAUGCAGACCCACUCAUGCACUGUUUUGCACAUGUUAUUGUGAAAAACCAGCAAAAAACUACCUAGCUAGUUUGUCUAAACAAACCAGAUCCAGUGGACAAAUAUAUAGAAAGUUAAAGACAAUCCUCAGAGCUUUGUUCAUUCAAUCAACCCACAAGCAACACUUUCCACCAGAAUUGGCUGAAAUGGUAGGGGUUGGGUCAGGGUUAGUGUUUUGGGGAACGUGCGGCACUCCGUAGGAGCGCAGCGUGGUGCACGGGCUCUCGGGUAAAUAUUUGUGUUUAAAAACCUGUUUAAAAACUCCUUAUUUUAUCCUAUUUACCAAUCAAAGUUUAUAAGGGUUAGGGUUAGCCACCAUGGCUUGUCAUUAAGCUUCCUAAUCCAACUUUAAUAUCACUAUAACAAUAAUGUAUCGGAAACAAUCAGAUGUCACCAGGAUGUUUAUUUUAGCCUCCAUAUGGACAAAGUAUUAACCUAUUUAAUAAGCAUUUUGUCCUGGAGCAAAACACAACACUUAUUCACUUUGGAUUGCAGGCUGGAAUAAGUGGUGCCUUAACAUAAUAGUACUAUACUUGCCUACGUGGUCAGCUGGUUAUGUAAGCCAAGCUGUUAUAUAAACCCAUUCAGGCUCAGCAGAGGUCAGAAGGAUUACACAGGAUCAUAGCUUGAUCUCUUUGAGGGAUCUGAAGCCAGAGAGAGAUCCACUGUUGAAGCUUGUAACGGAGUGUGUGAUAGUAGGAUUUAGAAGUACUACGAGGUCCGAGCCCUGCAGUAUAACGUCCUUACGAUGCUCGACCAAAGCACUGAACUUCAACCUGUUCUGUCUUUACUAUUCUUUUCCAUGCUAUUGAUUUUAUUCUUACAUUUACAGCACCCAGUAUAUUUAGUUGACUAAUUUUGAGCAAUAAGAGCAAUAUGGAAUUUACUCAGCUCCGCCUCCUCACUAAUGUUACGUUUUUUGUUAUGGCAUGGCAGUCAUUGAUAACAAUGGUAGAUAAACCACUUGAACAUUAUUAGUAGUUUGUUUUAUAAGGAGUCCAUGAUUUAGAAAUAUGAGAUAACAGAGAAAGUAAUGGGUUGAUUAAGAUGAUCUCAUGCCAUGACUAAAGCUCAUUUUUAGUCCACAAACAUCCACUUGGUUGGUUAAUUUAAAAACUCUGCUUCAUCUGACACCCAUGUCUAGUAUAUAUAUAUUUUUAAAAGCCUAGAGAAAACAACAUCCUUUUAGAGGGGAGCAGGGCUGAGCUGAGCAGUGACUUGUUGAAAUUUAACAAGCAAGGAAGUUCAAGCAAUUGUCUCUGCAGAUAUUAGAGCGGUCAGAGCAGAUCGUAUCUCUGCGGCUGACUUUAUUAGAAGAUGAUUUUACAGACAGAAUAGAGCUAAGUGCACCCAGCGGGGGCAAAUAUAGAGUCUUAAGGUGCAGACAGAGAAAUAAUUAUUAACAUGUGAGAUAAUGAGUGGCGAUGAGUGACACUAGAAGUGAAAAGGAAAGAUGUGGAAGAGAGAGGAAAAUAAUGAGGCAGAAAAUGCUCUUAUGCAUUUCCGCUAUUUGUACAUUUAUGACAACUGACAGGGAAAGGGACAUUGUAUAAGAGUGGGAGUGAGGAAACAAGUGAAAAGGAGAGAUAAUGGUGGGGACAGAGUUGGUGUAGGGAGGAGGAUUAUGACAGAAAUAAACAAUGAGUGUAUUUGAGUAAAUUGGCAAACAUGAGUAUAGGACAAAAGAAAAAUGCAAGAAAAGUAAAGUGCACAGGUGAAAAGGGAAAAUAAAUAAAGCCAUUUAUUUUCUGAAUUAAUUCUACUUUAAGAAGUGCUUUAUGUUGCAUACUUAAAGUAUAUACAGAGUAGGGUAUGACUUAAAACAGCUAGAUUUCUCAACUCUAACAACAAACCGAGAACACAUACAAGAACAAACAGUAUAUAUUGACAAUAUUAGUUAUAUUGAGUAUGUUUGUGGUCCUUGUUUGGUCGUCAGAGGUUCAGAUGUCCAACGUUUACCUCCUUAUGAAGUUUACCUCUACCAACUCCUUCACUGUCCAAAUACCAGCCAGUUUCUGUGGAAGCAUGAACCCACAAUAUCAACUAAUUAGAUACCAUUAAUGUGUUUCUACAUAAAGACGCCAAGCGCACAGAGAAGAAAGCAUGCACACAUCUGUUAAUAUGGACUUCUACAACAGCCUACAACAGGCUAGGUGUUUCUUUCAUUCCCUCCAUCUUACUGCUGACAUCACCUGCCUGCACAGUCACACUGAAGUGAAGGAAAGCAUCUCAAGACGCCUGGAAACAACCCAGUGAUCCCGCUACUCACCACCAUGGCACCCAGAGAGAUUCCCAUCAUCGUUCGUGAAACAAUAAGGACUGGAAACAAUGGCUUGGAGAGGAGACCAGCAGAACAGUCUGAGUUUCAUAUAACAAACUGAGAGACAACAUUGUGGCAUUGACUUUGUUCUCAUCCACGUGGAUUUAAAGUACAGUUCACACGGAUAUACGGCUUUUUCAGGACGAGCAUGUUCUCACAGAGUGGAUUUGCAUGAACAGUGUCUCUGUUCUUUGGAGAAUGUGUAAAACUGCAGAAAGUGGACAUGAGGAUCUUUGCCAAAUUCGAGCAGAAUGAAAAGGAACAACAGCCUCAGAUGGUAAAUGUCUCAUAAAGGUUAUAUAUGGCUACAGGCCUACACUGCACUCACAGCCCUGAUGAUUAGUAACAGUUUGAAGAUCCUUUCCCUCAUUCAAUGGGGUUGAAUAUUGCUUGGAUAUUCUGAUCUUUGUAAUGAGGACAUUUGCGGAAUGUAGUUGAAGAUUUGUCACUAAUCAAAUCAAAUCAAUUCAUUUGACUGUUGAGAAGACAAUGAAAAGAUAUAAUGGCUUUGAAGACAAUGGACAAUUCCUUCUGUGGACACUAUGGGACUGAAUCGAAGAAGAGGUUUGGUGGUAAACCUUUAUCCUUUAAUGUCAAAUUAUUUAAAAACAAUCAAUGAAACUUAACAGAACAACCAUUAAACUUGUCAAGGUCUGGAUAAUGAAUUUCUAUUUGUGAUACAACAAGCUAACUUACUCAAACAUUUUCAAAUCGGCAAAAACAUAAAACUCUGUGUUAUAUCUGAAAGAUGGUUGAACAACAAUGUGUUAUGAAGCACAUACAUACUAUGCACACAGUACACUCACUUUACAUCAGGAUUUUAUUAAAACAGAUAGUGAUAGCUAGAUGCAGAUAUGAAGCAGACACAGUAUGACAGCACUGUUUGGUUAGCAGCAGCACAAAUGGACUACAUGCUACCAUUGUACCUCACUGAACAUGCAUGGCAACUAGCACAUGUCUUAUUUUCUAACUAAUGUAGUAAGUGUUUAUCUAUUCACACAUACUUAAGUCAGUAAUUGGACUUCAGUAAAACAAUUUAGCCUAUUGGUUUUAUGAGUUAAUAUAUGCUUAUACAUGUAUGUUGGAGUUUGACUUUACAUUUGACUUGCUUCUAUAUCUUACUUUUACGUUUUAUUUGAGGAAUUUCUCUCUUUGUAAAUCCAAGGCCAUGGAGCUAUCAGGAAGUGUUUUUAAGGUGGACCUUUCUACUGUAUGAGUUAUGUAAUGUAACCUUAUUAAAGUAGUAAGAAUGUG